ACUUCAAGCCUGCAAAUAAGCGCGGAUGUGGAUGAUGUGUUUCUCGGAAACAGACUUUCGUUUACCUGUUCUACAAAUUCACCGGUUACAAAGAUUAAGUGGCACAGAUUACCCAGAGGUUCGAGUCUUGCAAACGACGUCGUCGUAGUUCAUGAAUUUGUUGAUAACCAAUGUCAUGCUCCCGACCUAUCCGGUACUUUGGAAUGCAAAUGUCAAUCUUCAACAGUCUUCAAAUGUGCUAUCAAAGCCGUAAGCGAAUCCAACGAUGGCGACAAAUGGCGUUGUUCCGGUUCACCAACAGGCGUGACAGAAUACAGCAACGGCUACCUAAUAAAUAUACUCAUACGUCUCAUCGCGUUAACAUUUCUCCCAGAAAUACACCCAAACGUGUCCUUCCACAUUUACAACGAGAUCUCAUCAUUCACGUGCAUGACUUCCCUUGUCCGUCCAGAAGCAAAUAUACACUGGUUUGAAGAUGAUGUAAAUAUCACCAAUAACGCAAGUUAUGAAUACAGAUCGUAUGUGUCGUCAAGUGUUCUUAAGUAUACAACAAACACCACCAGCAACAAAACUGUGUCGUGCAUGGCAAUCUAUGUGUACAAAAACAUUACAAUUUCUUUCCGUCAAGGAACGAAUUUGAUAAUUCAAUAUCCAGUUUCCAAACCGGUCAUUAGCAUAAAUAACAAGAAUGUUUCCGAAACAGCUCAUCUGCGAGAAAACGUUACGGCUGAGUUCAGAUGUUUCUCCUCCGGCUAUCCUUCCCCGUCUUAUCAAUGGAUUUACCCUGGAGGCAUCGCAAAUGGCAACGUAGUAAAGUUGCUGUUCGAUCGUAAUUCCCAUGAUAAGUUUAUAGAGUGUGUAUCGACCAAUACAUAUUAUUCCCUGAGUGGAGCUGCGGGUAACAGGUCAAGCACACAUUCAACUUUAUUUAACAUCUAUGUUUCAUGUGAGUAAACAUUUUAUUUACUUUAUAACUAAGCA